UACGAAGGGGGCUAGCGUUGCUCGGAAUCACUGGGCGUAAAGGGUGCGUAGGCGGCUUUCUAAGUCGGGGGUGAAAUCCUGGAGCUCAACUCCAGAACUGCCUUCGAUACUGGAAGCUCGAGUCCGGGAGAGGUGAGUGGAACUGCGAGUGUAGAGGUGAAAUUCGUAGAUAUUCGCAAGAACACCAGUGGCGAAGGCGGCUCACUGGCCCGGUACGUGACGCUGAGGUGCGAAAGCGUGGGGAGCAAACAGGG
rnacentral:rRNA from 1 species